UACGAAGGGUGCAAGCGUUGCUCGGAAUUAUUGGGCGUAAAGGGUGUGUAGGCGGUUGCUUAAGUUUGGUGUGAAAUCUCCCGGCUCAACCGGGAGGGUGCGCCGAAUACUGAGUGACUAGAGUGCGGGAGAGGAAAGUGGAAUUCCUGGUGUAGCGGUGAAAUGCGUAGAUAUCAGGAGGAACACCGGUGGUGUAGACGGCUUUCUGGACCGUAACUGACGCUGAUGCACGAAAGCUAGGGGAGCAAACAGG
rnacentral:rRNA from 1 species